UACCGGUUAAGCACGCAGCAGCCGUGCGGCGUCGUCGGUUACGUCAUCACGCUGGCUUGUUGUCUAGCGUUAGCGGUAGUCUUUAAAAGCAUGGAGCCGACACGGCCAGGCGAGUAAGCUCUGCCUGUUCCACGCAGUUCUGCAUCAGCAUUGGUUCUGCUGCUAUUGCUUGUCCGUUGAGGCAGCGUUCGGCAUUCCCACGGUUCCCUUUGGAGAGUGUUUCACUUGGUGACCUGCGUUCCUGCAGUAGCCCUCGGUUUCAUCUGUGCUCCGCAUCUACGCGCUUACUACUUGCAUCCUUUGCAGUGGUUUAUCCAGUCUUCUUCCUCCCUCCGCGUUCUGGUACGUCUCUGCCCGGCAACGCAUUUAUUCAGCAUUAUGUCUCUACAUUUCUCCGUGGCUAACGCUUCCUCCCUUCACGUAGGGUCCACAUUCGCGACAUUUGCCUCCGAGAUCAGCUGGGUAUUCGGCCUCGGUGCAUGUAAAUAUCAGGCUUUGGGCCGCCGGGUACUGUCAUUCCCCCUCCACUGGGCCUACAAUGAGCAGCGCCUCUGCAUCGUCGGGCUCUGCUCUGGCUGCUGUUCUGCUUUUAUUGAAUUUCUUUCAUUUAUAGGAUAUUCUCACGCUGUUGCUUGUCUCGUAUCACGGCGGCACCGCACUGAGAGGGGCCGCGCACCGCAAUAGCAUACGGCAGCGUGUGUGGGCCCACUGCAGCCAGUGUGUGCUGGAAUGUGUGUGUGUUGGUGUGUGUGUCGGUGUGUGUGCGUCCUUGCGAGUUUUGUGUGGGGGGCGCGUGUGCGUGAGUGUGUGUGGGGUGGUAAGUGGGUAUUACCCACUCACUAUUGAGUAUAUUGUUUUGUGUUCUGGUUUAUUUUAUUUUAUUGUUUUGUGUUUUGAUUUAUUCUGUUAAUUUAUCGUUUGUGAUUUCUGUACAUAUCCCGUGGGCAUUGGUCAAGUUCACAGGGCCUGUGUGGGCCUCACAUUUUGUCCCUCACGACUUGUUGUGUUGGUUAAGGCGCUUUGCUGUGCCCCUCGGGGGUGCGAUAUUUGCUGUGUGUAUAGCUUGCUGUGCGUGUGUGCUAUCACUGUGGUUUGUGAGUUACCUUACUACUAGCCCUGUGGGCUCAGCCAUUGCCUGUGGUCACUGUACCGUGUUAAUUGUAUUUUCUUUUCUUUUCUUUGGCAGGACCAGGGACGACCAGCAGGGGGGCCAAGCCGUUGGUGUUCCUACUAAAGCAGGGACAUCGAUCUUCAAAAAACUCCUGAAGACCCAGCUCUUCAGAGAACAUCUCUCAUAGCACUACUUACAACUAGCUUUGCUAAUUCUAGCACUUACCACCUGACUAGAAUUGACACUUGACUUGACACCUCACACACACAUAUACUUAGGGUCUCAGUUGGGGCAACUGUGGUAAAACUGUGUGUGUGUGUGUGUGUCUAUAUGCGUGUGAGUGUGUGUGUGUUACUGAGUGCCUCUGGUAGGGAGGGACUUGUGGGGAAAAAGAAACUUAGUCUCCAUGUGAAAACACACACACACACACACACACGCACAGGUUUCAU